rnacentral:misc_RNA from 1 species
AAGUCGUAACAAGGUUUCCGUAGGUGAACCUGCGGAAGGAUCAUUACCUAGAGUUGUAGGCUUUGCCUGCUAUCUCUUACCCAUGUCUUUUGAGUACCUUCGUUUCCUCGGCGGGUCCGCCCGCCGAUUGGACAACCUUAAACCCUUUGCAGUUGCAAUCAGCGUCUGAAAAAACUUAAUAGUUACAACUUUCAACAACGGAUCUCUUGGUUCUG